rnacentral:rRNA from 1 species
AGCGAACGCUGGCGGCAGGCCUAAUACAUGCAAGUCGAGCGCACCUUCGGGUGAGCGGCGGACGGGUGAGUAACGCGUGGGAACGUGCCCUUCGGUACGGGAUAACUGAGGGAAACUUCAGCUAAUACCGUAUGUGCCCUACGGGGGAAAGAUUUAUCGCCAUUGGAGCGGCCCGCGUUGGAUUAGGUAGUUGGUGAGGUAAAGGCUCACCAAGCCUACGAUCCAUAGCUGGUCUGAGAGGAUGAUCGGCCACACUGGGACUGAGACACGGCCCAGACUCCUACGGGAGGCAGCAGUAGGGAAUCUUGCGCAAUGGGCGAAAGCCUGACGCAGCCAUGCCGCGUGAAUGAUGAAGGUCUUAGGAUUGUAAAAUUCUUUCACCGGGGAAGAUAAUGACGGUACCCGGAGAAGAAGCCCCGGCUAACUCCGUGCCAGCCGCCGCGGUAAGAC